rnacentral:rRNA from 1 species
UACGUAGGUGACAAGCGUUGUCCGGAUUUACUGGGCGUAAAGAGCGCGCAGGCGGUCGUUCAAGUCGAGUGUGAAAGCCCCCGGCUCAACUGGGGAGGGUCAUUCGAUACUGAUCGACUCGAAGGCAGGAGAGGGAAGUGGAAUUCCCGGUGUAGUGGUGAAAUGCGUAGAUAUCUGGAGGAACACCGGUGGCGAAGGCGGCAUUCUGGACCGACAUUGACGCUGAGGAGCGAAAGCCAGGGGAGCAAACGGG